CAUGGCCACCACCACCACCACCACACCCAGGUGGCCAUGCAGAUGCAUGCCGCAUGCUAGCGUUGGCAGGGGAGAAGGGGCCGGCCAUGGUCAUAGUGUAGCAGUGUGGCAACUGGUUCUGCCUCGGCCUCUUGCAUGCUCGCUUCAGCUGAAAGCAAGGGUAGUGUGGCUUUGGAGUAGAAACACCGGAGAGGUGAGAGGUCGUAGUAGUCUCGUCUGGCAUACGGACAUGUCCUAGCAAAGCUAGCUAGCUUUGCUUCAGAUCAGGACAUCACCAGUGCAUUGCAGCAGUGUCCUGCUCCUGCUCCUGCGGCCGAGGUAUCUCCUCCUGCUGGCUCCAUGAUUACUUUACUAUAUCCGUGCAAGUGAUGAGGUGUGGUUGUGCUUAGUCUUCAUGCAUGCAAGCUUGCAAGUGAUGGGCACGACCGGGUUUAACUUGCUAUCGUACAGAGGGUGAGUAAAUGCUGACCUAACUGGAUUCAAGAGCAUGUCCACCACCUAUCUCCUGCAUGCCGCACAAUUCAUUCAUUCAUUCAUUCAAGAAUAUAUUAUUAUUAUCAAAACCAAGGAAAUAUGAGACGAUAGAGUAUGUAGUAUCCAUUAUUUGGUACCGCAUGCAUUUACAUAAUACUAGUAUAUUACUCAUGGGAUAAGGAUAUUAGUCUAUCAUUAAGAAAUAAAAAUAGGCAUAAGGAGUGCCCCCUAUGCAUACAAGAAUGAAAUAUGAUCCUGAUGCCUCGGUGCCUCCCAUGUAGUGUAGCACACAAGACCACGAGUGUAGUAUAACUGUUGUGGUAAGUCUUGGAACACCCACUUGUUGUAUGAGAAAUUGAAAUGGGCUGGUUACUCUUCUUAAAACCAUCAUAAAUAAUGUAAGCUCAAAUUAGACAACCAUUCUCAAAAUUCAAAACUAUGACAAAUGUAAGAAUUUGGCCAAAACUUUUUCGUCUCAAAAGAAAGACACCCAUUCUCAACCAACCUUUUCCGUGGUGCAUUUGUUUAGCACUGUCGAUCAUGGAAUUAUUUUUGCAUGGACUUGUUUUCAUUUGAGCAAGCGAGCCGCGUGCAGCGAAGCUCCGGCUUGCACAGUCCUACUACGUAGGAGUAGGAGUGUAGGAGUACAAGUGACCAUGCAUCACAUCGCACAAGAAUACAAGAGCGGCGAGCGGGUUUCCAGAGGCAAAAGCCUCACCACCUUUCCAGUCCGGUUGACAUGCCUUGAUGACUGCCAUUUCAGGACAUGUAGGUAGGGUAGGGGGCCCGGCGCCGGGCCGGAUCUUCUACGCCACCGGACGCCCCAUGCAGCUGCAAUGACAAGUUGACAACGACGACACACCCCUCCUGUUCCUCGCAAAAACAACAAAAACAAAAAACAAAGAAAGAAAUUAAUGUGUGUACCGUCGGCAGCACGUAGCCUGGUGGCCCUGCUUGUUCUUCUCGUGAGUGUUUUGAAUGUAUUUCUGUACUACGACUAGCACAGUACCGGAUGAUAUGAUAAUAUUAAUUAAUUGAAAUCCAA